rnacentral:lncRNA from 1 species
CAAUCUUUCCCUAAGGCAUAUUUGGCAGGGUCUAAUAUUUUAUUACUUAUAAUCUCAAGUCCAUACAGGGUGCUUUUUGAUGUCACCUCUAAUUAUAUUCACAUACUGAAGUACACAUGUUACCAGUUAUAAAGUUGUACUGACCUUUGUCAUUAAAAAAAAAAAAAAAACUAAAAGCUAAAAAAUGUGUUCAAAGGACUUUCACUUUCAAUUGGCAGAAAAUCUAGCCCAAACUCAUUUUAUAAAAGGAGCUGACUCACUCACUAAACUGAAAUACAUAGGAGAGGCCUGGUUUUCUCUCUGUCUCUCUCUUCUCCUUUGCUUCCUCUCUUCUUUCCUGUUUUCUCUCUAUUGCUCUCUCCACUGUUGCAUCUCUUCCAGGUCUCCAUCUGCCCUCAUACUUAUGCAGGUUUCCCAUCACAAGCAGAAGAUGGCUUCAGCAUUCUCAGAUCUCACAUCUUCUAAGAUUCAGUCUAGCAGGAGGGAGAAUUCUCCAGUUUCUUUCCAGCAUUUCUGGAUUUUUCAAGAGAACUUUGGAAUUCCUGGGGGAUGUGUUCUGGUGAUUCUUCCAGAAGAAGAGACAAGUUGGCAGAGAAGGACAGAGGAUGAAUCCUGGUAAGUGAUUCUUACGAAUAAGGGAACAUGCACUUUCUCAUCAGCCUGGAUUCCUUUUUUUUUUUCCUCUAUAUCCUCUCACACAUUUCACAAUCAAGUUCACAGAGAUUGGCUUAGCUUUAUGUAGAGCUUUCAGAAUAAUGGGUAUUUGGUUUUGAAAGAUCCUUAUAGUUCCUCUUCACAGAUAUUUGUAAUGAACAGAAACUUGUUAUUUUCUCAGAAUAUUCUGACAGUAGAUUCUCUAACACUCCCCUCCAGCCCAAAUGCACAAAUAUGCAGUCUCAGAUUUUUUUCCAUCAGAGCAGAGUGGAGUCAGGAAGUUCGUAGUAAUUUGCAGAUAUAUACCAUCAGCUAACACAUCACUGCAAGCAGAAUACCCCUGAUGCAGGAAGGAACAGAUGCUGAUCACUGGGGUGAGGAUGUGGAAAGGGCUUAGUGACUGAAC